CUAAUCAAAUAAACGAGCACUCAUAUAAUCGCAGGGAUAGGGCCUGCAAGUUUCUACCGGAUGACCGUAAAUCAUCUGACUAUGAGUGAGCAGUGUUGUUUU
rnacentral:ncRNA from 2 species